GGGAAUAUAGUUAAUUAUAACAUUUAGGUUGCAUCUAAAAAAUAUUGAAGACUCAAUUAUUCUUA
rnacentral:tRNA from 1 species